GACUCUCGGCAAUGGAUAUCUCGGCUCUCGCCACAAUGAAGAAUGUAGCAAAAUGCAAUACUUAGUGUGAAUUGCAGCAUCUCAUGAAUCAUCAAGUCUUUGAACACAAGUUGUGCCCGAGGCCUCAGCCAAUGGUACGUCUGCUUGGGCGUCA